UACGUAGGGACCGAGCGUUGUCCGGAAUCAUUGGGCGUAAAGAGCGUGUAGGCGGCUCGCUAAGUCUUGCGUGAAAUCUCGGGGCUCAACCCCGAGCGGUCGUGAGAAACUGGCGGGCUAGAGUGCGGGAGAGGAGAGUGGAAUUCCUGGUGUAGCGGUGAAAUGCGCAGAUAUCAGGAAGAACACCGGUGGCGAAGGCGGGUCUCUGGGCCGAUACUGACACUGAGAAGCGAAAGCGUGGGGAGCGAACAGG
rnacentral:rRNA from 1 species